GUCAGCAGGGUUGAGCCUGGUCAGUACCUGGAUGGGAGACCUCCUGGGAAAGCUAGGUUGCUGCUGGAA
rnacentral:rRNA from 1 species